rnacentral:rRNA from 1 species
AUUGAACGCUGGCGGUAGGCCUAACACAUGCAAGUCGAACGCGAAAGUCCUUCGGGAUGAGUAGAGUGGCGGACGGGUGAGUAACGCGUAGGAAUCUAUCCUGUAGUGGGGGAUAACGUUUCGAAAGGAACGCUAAUACCGCAUACGCCCUACGGGGGAAAGCGGGGGAUCUUCGGACCUCGUGCUAGAGGAGGAGCCUGCGUCGGAUUAGCUAGUUGGUGAGGUAAGGGCUCACCAAGGCGACGAUCCGUAGCUGGUCUGAGAGGAUGAUCAGCCACACCGGAACUGAGACACGGUCCGGACUCCUACGGGAGGCAGCAGUGGGGAAUAUUGCGCAAUGGGCGAAAGCCUGACGCAGCCAUACCGCGUGUGUGAAGAAGGCCUUCGGGUUGUAAAGCACUUUCAGUGGGGAGGAAAAGCUGGCGGCUAAUAUCCGCCGGCCGUGACGCUACCCUCAGAAGAAGCACCGGCUAAUUCCGUGCCAGCCGCCGCCGUAAGAC